AGUUCACUGCCAAGAACGUUACUGUAGAUGUGGUUUGGUAUUUGUCUUGACAAGUGAUACACGAAACCAUUUUCCUGAUUCUUUAGUAUGUAUAUAAGUUGCUGUUAAUGUUCUCUGUCUUCUACACUCUCAAAGUCACCAAAUUGUAAUAUAUGCAGACUACCUUAUGUUAUAGUGGUAUCUUGUAUUUGAAAGAUAGAGGAUAC
rnacentral:lncRNA from 1 species